CUGUAUGGCGGGCGGUGCGUGGGGGUUUUCGAACCCACCGGUAAUGGCACUACUUCGUCCCGGUUUGCAGCCACGCAUCGUCCGCCACCUUU
rfam:Stenotrophomonas maltophilia SKK35, WGS project CALN01000000 data, contig: 611